rnacentral:rRNA from 1 species
UAGGGAAUCUUCCGCAAUGGACGCAAGUCUGACGGAGCAACGCCGCGUGAGUGAAGAAGGAUUUCGGUUCGUAAAACUCUGUUGUUAGAGAAGAACAGCGCAUAGAGUAACUGUUAUGCGUGUGACGGUAUCUAAUCAGAAAGCCACGGCUAACUACGUGCCAGCAGCCGCGGUAAUACGUAGGUGGCAAGCGUUAUCCGGAAUUAUUGGGCGUAAAGCGCGCGUAGGCGGUUUUUUAAGUCUGAUGUGAAAGCCCACGGCUCAACCGUGGAGGGUCAUUGGAAACUGGAAAACUUGAGUGCAGAAGAGGAAAGUGGAAUUCCAUGUGUAGCGGUGAAAUGCGCAGAGAUAUGGAGGAACACCAGUGGCGAAGGCGACUUUCUGGUCUGUAACUGACGCUGAUGUGCGAAAGCGUGGGGAUCAAACAGG